AACGAACGCUGGCGGCAUGCCUAACACAUGCAAGUCGAACGAGACCUUCGGGUCUAGUGGCGCACGGGUGCGUAACGCGUGGGAAUCUGCCCUUGGGUUCGGAAUAACAGCGAGAAAUUGCUGCUAAUACCGGAUGAUGACGUAAGUCCAAAGAUUUAUCGCCCAAGGAUGAGCCCGCGUAGGAUUAGCUAGUUGGUGAGGUAAAGGCUCACCAAGGCGACGAUCCUUAGCUGGUCUGAGAGGAUGAUCAGCCACACUGGGACUGAGACACGGCCCAGACUCCUACGGGAGGCAGCAGUGGGGAAUAUUGGACAAUGGGCGAAAGCCUGAUCCAGCAAUGCCGCGUGAGUGAUGAAGGCCUUAGGGUUGGUAAAGACUCUUUUACCCGGGUAGUGAUAAUGACAGUACCGGGAGGAAUAAGACUCCGGCUAACUCCGUGCCAGCAGCCGCGGUAAU
rnacentral:rRNA from 1 species